GUCUUAAAAAUUCUAAUGUCUGUUGAGUAUCACAAUUGUCUUUGGCAGUUA
rnacentral:antisense_RNA from 1 species